rnacentral:rRNA from 1 species
UACGAAGGGGGCUAGCGUUGUUCGGAAUCACUGGGCGUAAAGCGCACGUAGGCGGAUUUUAAGUCAGGGUGAAAUCCGAGGCUCAACCUCGAACUGCCUUGAUACUGGAGAUCUUGAGUCCGGAAGAGGUAAGUGGAACUGCGAGUGUAGAGGUGAAAUUCGUAGAUAUUCGCAAGAACACCAGUGGCGAAGGCGGCUUACUGGUCCGGAACUGACGCUGAGGUGCGAAAGCGUGGGGAGCAAACAGG